GGUUCAGUGGUCUAGUGGUAUGAUUUCUGUCUCACACACAGAAGGUCCGCGGUUCGAGCCCGCGUUGAACCA